CCUACGGGAGGCAGCAGUGAGGAAUAUUGGUCAAUGGACGCAAGUCUGAACCAGCCAUGCCGCGUGCAGGAAGACGGCUCUAUGAGUUGUAAACUGCUUUUGUACGAGGGUAAACGCAGAUACGCGUAUCUGUCUGAAAGUAUCGUACGAAUAAGGAUCGACUAACUCCGUGCCAGCAGCCGCGGUAAUACGGAGGAUUCAAGCGUUAUCCGGAUUUAUUGGGUUUAAAGGGUGCGUAGGCGGUCGGAUAAGUUAGUGGUGAAAUCCCGAGGCUCAACUUCGGAAUUGCCUCUGAUACUGUUCGGCGAGAGAGUAGUUGCGGUAGGCGGAAUGUAUGGUGUAGCGGUGAAAUGCUUAGAGAUCAUACAGAACACCGAGUGCGAAGGCAGCUUACCAAGCUACUUCUGACGUUGAGGCACGAAAGCGUGGGGAGCAAACAGGAUUAGAUACCCCAGUAGUC
rnacentral:rRNA from 1 species